rnacentral:rRNA from 1 species
UACGUAGGAUUCGAGCGUUAUCCGGAUUUAUUGGGUUUAAAGGGUGCGUAGGCGGUUUGAUAAGUUAGAGGUGAAAUGUCGGGGCUCAACCCCGAAACUGCCUCUAAUACUGUUGGACUAGAGAAUAGUUGCGGUAGGCGGAAUGUAUGGUGUAGCGGUGAAAUGCUUGGAGAUCAUACAGAACACCGAUUGCGAAGGCAGCUUACCAAACUAUAUCUGACGUUGAGGCACGAAAGCGUGGGUAGCAAACAGG